rnacentral:rRNA from 1 species
ACAAGCGGUGGAGUAUGUGGUUUAAUUCGAUGCAACGCGAAGAACCUUACCUGGUCUUGACAUCCCGGAGACCCUUAGGAAACUAGGGGGUGGCUUCCAUCUGGAAGAAUCUGGAGACAGGUGCUGCAUGGCUGUCGUCAGCUCGUGUCGUGAGAUGUUGGGUUAAGUCCCGCAACGAGCGCAACCCUUGCCUUUAGUUGCCAGCAGUUCGGCUGGGCACUCUAAAGGGACUGCCGGUGUUAAACCGGAGGAAGGUGGGGAUGACGUCAAGUCCUCAUGGCCUUUAUGACCAGGGCUACACACGUACUACAAUGGCCGAUACAAAGGGCAGCGACACUGCGAGGUGAAGCCAAUCCCGUAAAAUCGGUCUCAGUCCGGAUUGGAGUCUGCAACUCGACUCCAUGAAGUUGGAAUCGCUAGUAAUCGUGGAUCAGCAUGCCACGGUGAAUACGUUCCCGGGCCUU